rnacentral:rRNA from 1 species
CACGUAGGGUGCGAGCGUUGUCCGGAAUUAUUGGGCGUAAAGAGCUCGUAGGCGGUGUGUCGCGUCGGCCGUGAAAACCCGCAGCUUAACUGCGGGCCUGCGGUUGAUACGGGCGGGCUAGAGUUCGGUAGGGGAGACUGGAAUUCCUGGUGUAGCGGUGAAAUGCGCAGAUAUCAGGAGGAACACCGGUGGCGAAGGCGGGUCUCUGGGCCGAUACUGACGCUGAGGAGCGAAAGCGUGGGGAGCGAACAGG